GACUCGGACCCAUGCGGUUGCAACGCCUUAAUCUUGUCAGGAUCGGAAGGUAGCAGCAAUACGGGAUGCUUGAAACAGGCGUGGACUCCGGGUCCCC
rnacentral:SRP_RNA from 1 species